rnacentral:lncRNA from 1 species
UACACGCAGCGCAACGCCGCAUCCAGCGCGCCCCACGCCCGCAUCGAGCGCGACUCCGGCCCGCACGCAGCGCAGCGCCGCCGCCGCAGUCCCGCGGGACAUAUAACUUUUUACCAACAUUAAGUUUGGCACCUCUCCAAAUACCAGCUUUAGAAUGGUAAAUACAUUUUUACCACCAAAACUACACAUUGGAUACAAAUAUACCAUAUUUGCCUUUGUGGCAGUCCACAUCAGCUGGCCAGCGUGGAAGACGAAGGGGAAAAGACCUCCCUGCCCUCCUUCUAUUUCGGCUACGCAUCGGAUAUCUUCCGUCGCGCUCGCGAGUCGCGACCGCGCCCCUCGGUCCGAAACCGUCGCUCGCGACCGCGCCCUCCCCCGCGCCCCUCGUUCCACCGCCCGCGACCCUGGGGCCUGGGCGCCGCCGCGCCGCCGCCGGUCGCCAGGACGUCACCACGCGCCUGCCCCUCCCCCUCCGCCUGGUCCUGAGCCCCACGGCUGUCCGCAACGGUCGCCUGGAAUGGAGUAAAGGUACUGCACGGCUAUCUCUACUAGUUUAGGGUUAGGGUUCGUCGAUCUGGUUUGAUUUAUGUCAUUCUCCCCUUCGUAGGUUGUUGUUCUAUCAGUUUUGAGGACAAGAAACAAUGGAUUCGAGUGGCUGUCCCUUUUGGUAAGUUGAAUCAGUCUCUCCUACUACAGUCUGACAUGGUCAAUCUCCUCUAACUUGUUGAUUUAUUUCCUAUUAAUGCACUAUGUUAGGAUUGAUCAUGACAACGCGUUUAAAUUAGUUGUUUCUGUGGGUUCUUAUGUUGCUGAUGGUGAGUAUGGGCUAGUAGAGAUGUCUAAUUCAGAGUAUGAGUUGUGGCUGGAUAUAACUGGGCAGUAUACUCUUCAGAAAUUUGCUGAUGACAUGGCCACAAAAAUUAUAUGGGGGCCAACACAAAAACUAUCAGUUUGGGUAAUUGACAGUGAUAGUGGUUCUAAAUGGAGUGUGAGAAGGGAUGAGCAUUUUCAGCAAAUUAUAAAGGAUUGCAGGGCACAAAGGGUUGCUUUUCUUGAAGUAAAUGUUGUCAGUAAAUCUGCAUUCUCUGGUAAUGCUACUUCUUCUCAUAGAUGGGGAUCUGGUGGACCUUCUGGUGUCACUACUGGUGAAGGCAGUGGAGUUCCUGGAAUUUUAGGUGGUAGUGGUUUUAAUUCACCUGAUAUUGCAUAGGGUACAGGUGAUACAUAUACUUCACCACCCCCAUCUAUGCCUCCUGAUGUACCAGAGCCGGUUGAUUGGGACGAUCUGAUCAUACAUCAAGAUGAAAAUAAUGAUGGUGAUGCUACUGCAGCUGUUGAUGAAGAUAUAUUAUAUGAGGCAAUGGGAUUUAGGGCAUGGGAUGAGAGUGCAGAAGAUGCAGCCAUACCUAUCCCUGUAAUAACAGCUGAAAUGCAACAAGAUAUGAAUGAAGCAGCUGUCCCAGUGGAUGACAAUGUACCAGAGGAGCCUUUGAUUCAUUGGGACAGGGCUAAUCCCGAUUUGUCUGUGGGAAUUACUUAUCCUUCCAUGAAAGAUCUGAGGCUAGCAGUGAAACAAUAUGCCAUAGUAGAGAAGUUUGAACUUGGUACUGCUCAUUCUGACAAGAAAAGGUACAGGGUACACUGUGCUGCUGCUGGAUGCCCUUGGUUUCUUAGAGCUAAGACACAACAUGAUAAGAGUGUCAGGGUAUAAUUUCUUGUUUUGAAUCUUUUUGCACUUAUGCAAUCGUUUUGUGUCUCUUUUUACUUAUGCAAGCUUUUUUUUCCCUAUUUACCUAUGUAGGCUUUUUUUGUCAUUUUGCAGGUGCAGAUAAAUAACGGCAAACACACUUGUCCUUCUACAUCUAGAGUCCCUGGUAAUACAAUGGCUUCUCAGGCUUGGGUGGCAGAGAGGGCUAUUCCCCUACUCAAGAAAAAGCCUAGCAUGGGUGUCAGAGAAUUACAGGAAGCCCUCCAAGACAAGUAUAGCAUUGACAUCAACUAUCAGACUGUACUGUAUGGUAAAAAAGGGCAUAUGACAAGCUUUUUGGGAAUUUUGAUGAUUCAUUUGAUUGGUUGUACAGAUUCAAGGCAGAGGUUGAGAUGAGAUCACCUGGAAGUAUAUUAGAGAUAGAUACAGAGACUGUGGAUGAUAAGGUUCAUUUCAAAAGGUUUUUCUGUUGUUUCAAGGCUGCAAUUGAUGGUUUCAGAAAUGGUUGCAGACCCUACAUAAGUAUAGACUCAACACAUUUGAAUGGACUUUGGAAUGGACAGUUGCCUGCAGCUCAAGCCUUGGAUGGACAUAAUUGGAUGUACCCUUUGGCUUUUGGACUUUUUGACUCUGAGACUAAGGACAACUGGACAUGGUUUAUGGAGCAACUGAGAAAGGCAAUAGGACCUAUGGAGAACUUAGCUGUUUGCACUGAUGCUUGCAAGGGCCUUGAAGCUGCAGUUGCCAAGAUUUUUCCAAAUUGUGAACAGAGGGAGUGCUUCAGGCAUUUGAUGGAAAACAUGAAGAAGUCCUACCGUGGAGAAGUUUAUGCCAAGAACAUGUGGUCAGCAGCUAGAGCAUAUACACCACACAAGUACAAGUAUUUCUUUGAGAAGGUAGCAGAUGCUAGCCCUGAAGCUAUUGAUUGGCUCAACAAAAAUCACAAGCUACUAUGGGCAAGAAGCAAGUUCAGUUCAGAAAUAAAAUGUGAUUACAUCAACAAUAAUUUGGCUGAGUCAUGGAAUUCUUGGAUCAAGGAGCACAAAGAUCUACCUGUUCACUGCUUGGCUGAUGCAAUUAGGGAGCAGACACUCAUUCUUUUUGCAAAAAGGAGGAAAAUAGCUAGAGCAUUGCCUCCUGGAAUUCUGCCUGCAAUCAUCCAUCAGCUAAAUGCAGCUUCAAAGGGUUUGGACCAUCUAAAAGUGACUAAAGGGUACCAAGAGGAGGCAGAAGUGACUGAGAUCUACAAAGAUGAAGAGGUUAGGAGGCAUGUUGUAUAUCCAACACAACAUAUAUGUACCUGUAGAGAGUGGCAAGUGACUGGGAAGCCUUGCCCUCAUGCAUUGGCUCUAAUCACAACCCAGAGGCAACCCAAUAUGGGCAUGUAUGUGCACAACUACUACUCAGUUGAGAAGUUCCAGGCUGCAUAUAAUGGGAUCAUUCCUAGCAUCACAGAUAGAACACAGUGGCCACAGGUGGACAAGGGAUUCAAAUUGUUGCGACCAAAUCAAAUGAAGAAGAGAGAGCCAGGCAAACCGAGGAAGAAAAGGAUACUAGCUGCUUCUGAGAGAAGUGGAAAAGCAACAAGACAGGUUAGAUGCCCUGAAUGUCUAGAAUAUGGCCACAGGAAGGGAAGCUGGAAGUGUUCAAAAAGUGGUACUAAGAAAAGGUAAUUAGUUGCCUAUACUGUAAUAUUUAGUUAUAAGUGUUAAACAUUGACCCUAGCAAAAUGCCUUGUAGGAAAAGAACAAAAAAAACAGCCCCAAAACCUGGAAGAAAGAAGAGCAAGGUCGACCCUACCCCUACUGGAGGCGACACACCAAGAACAAGGUUAGCACUGGCUAGAGAAGCUGCAAUUCAGGCAGCAAGGGAGGCAGAGGAGGCAGCAGCAAAGGCUGCAGCAGCAGCUGAAGCUGCAGCAGCCGCGGAGAUACAAGUCAUACCUCCACUUCAGAUUGAGCAACCACAACCAUCAUCACCUGCAGCUAGAAGGUAUGCCAUAGUUGCAAAUAAAAAUUUAUCCAAAACAUACUGUUGCGUAUGACAAUGUGUCUCCCAUAUUUUUGGUUAGGCAUAUUUGUUGGGACCUGCAAGUAGGCAAUGAGGUGGAUGAAACAGCAACAACAUCACAUGAACCACCUACUAAAAAGAUGACACCAAGGAGGAAGAUCCUUGCUACAAGGAAGAAGAAGAGUCCAGCAAAGAAUGUCAAAAAGUGACUGCACUUUUCAGCAAGACUAGGGAGAUCUAUUUUGGUUGUGCAAUGAACAAAGUUGUAACUUUUGAUGCAUGUGUGGUCAGUCCACUAAACAAUUUGUGUGUCCAGAACAAUUUGUGUAUGGCCUUGAACUAGUUGUGUGUGGCCGUGAACUAUUUGUGGGCACAAGUAGCACAAAACAUGCAUGUGUGAUGUCCAGACUAGUUGUAAAAUGGCUAGAACUAUGGUCUGAAUUUUUAAUUAUGGUUUAAAUGUGAUCAUCUGUGAACCUGAAGGCCAUAUGGUUUAAAUGUUAUCUGCGUAGCAAAAUAGGAGGGCAGGGAGGUCUUUUCCCCUUAGUCUUCCACGCUGGCCAGCUGAUGUGGACUGCCACAAAGGCAAAUAUGGUAUAUUUGUAUCUAAUGUGUAGUUUUGGUGGUAAAAAUGUAUUUACCAUUCUAAAGCUGGUAUUUGGAGAGGUGCCAAACUUAAUGAUGGUAAAAAGUUAUAUAUCCCCAGUCCCGCCGUCGGCCGCGCCCCGGCCGCCUCCCCUGCGCCCUGCGCUCGCACCUCCCCUGCGCCCUGCGCUCGCACCCGCGCCUCCUCCCCUGCCGUUGACCGCCCGCCCGCCUGCCCGCUUCGAUCCGGCCGCUUCGGUCC